CUACGGGUCGCAGCAGUGAGGAAUAUUGCACAAUGGGGGGAACCCUGAUGCAGCAACGCCGCGUGGAGGAUGACGCAUUUCGGUGUGUAAACUCCUUUUAUAUGUCAAGACAAUGACGGUAGCAUAUGAAUAAGCACCGGCUAACUCCGUGCCAGCAGCCGCGGUAAUACGGAGGGUGCAAGCGUUACUCGGAAUCACUGGGCGUAAAGGACGCGUAGGCGGGUUGGAAAGUCAGGUGUGAAAUCCUACAGCUUAACUGUAGAACUGCACUUGAAACUUCUAAUCUAGAGUAUGGGAGGGGGAGAUGGAAUUAGUGGUGUAGGGGUAAAAUCCGUAGAUAUCACGAGGAAUACCUAAAGCGAAGGCGAUCUCCUGGAACAUUACUGACGCUAAGGCGUGAAAGCGUGGGGAGCAAACAGGAUUAGAUACCCUCGUAGUC
rnacentral:rRNA from 1 species